rnacentral:rRNA from 1 species
CCUACGGGUGGCUGCAGUGGGGAAUAUUGGACAAUGGGGGCAACCCUGAUCCAGCCAUGCCGCGUGUGUGAAGAAGGCCCUCGGGUUGUAAAGCACUUUCAGUGAGGAAGAACGCCUGGUGGUUAAUACCCAUCAGGAAAGACAUCACUCACAGAAGAAGCACCGGCUAACUCCGUGCCAGCAGCCGCGGUAAUACGGAGGGUGCGAGCGUUAAUCGGAAUUACUGGGCGUAAAGCGCGCGUAGGUGGCUUGAUAAGCCGGUUGUGAAAGCCCCGGGCUCGACCUGGGAACGGCAUCCGGAACUGUCAAGCUAGAGUGCAGGAGAGGAAGGUAGAAUUCCCGGUGUAGCGGUGAAAUGCGUAGAGAUCGGGAGGAAUACCAGUGGCGAAGGCGGCCUUCUGGACUGACACUGACACUGAGGUGCGAAAGCGUGGGUAGCAAACAGGAUUAGAUACCCUGGUAGUC